UACGUAGGGGGCAAGCGUUGUCCGGAAUCAUUGGGCGUAAAGCGCGUGUAGGCGGUUACGUAAGUCUGCUGUGAAAGUCGGAGGCUCAACCUUCGAAAGCCGGUGGAUACUGCGUGACUAGAGUACGGAAGAGGCGAGUGGAAUUCCUGGUGUAGCGGUGAAAUGCGCAGAUAUCAGGAGGAACACCUAUUGCGAAGGCAGCUCGCUGGGACGUUACUGACGCUGAGACGCGAAAGCGUGGGGAGCAAACAGG
rnacentral:rRNA from 1 species